AUGACUCACCGAGCGACGCUCCACUCCAAGAAAAAAGCCGCCUUCUCUAAAAGAAAAUGCUGCUUGUGCUCCCACCGGUCAGUGUGGUGGGCAUCCGUGCGGUGCGGCCCCGUCAUCGUAACACCCGCAGCGCCUCGGGCUCUCUGCUUGUCCUGUCGACCCACCCACCGCUCAUUUCCGGCGAGCCACCGCACGGGGGCCGCCGAUCUCCGGCGAAUCGCGCCGAUGCCGCCGGCCCCGAUGGCAGCCGAGAAGAGGAGGGCCGCGUACGCGGCCUUCCUCCCGCUGCUCCUCCUCCUCGCGCUCCGCGCCCUCCUCCCCUCCUCCGCCCCCCCGGCCCGGGGCGGGGAGGAAACCCUAGCCAGCAGCAGGUACGUCGUGCGGUUCCUCGAGUACCGCCCCGCCGACGACCACCGGGAAUACCUGGAGGGCGGCCUCCCCCGCGAGGCCGGGCCGUGGCGGUGGGUGGAGCGGCGGAACCCCGCGACCGCGCACCCGACCGACUUCGCCGUGCUCGAGAUCCGCGACGCGCACCGGGACGCCGUCUUCGAGGCCGUCCGCGCGCUCGGCCGCGUCCGGGACGUGCACCCCGACGCCAGCCACUCGCGGGCCGCCCUGUCGGCGGAUCGGGCGCGGGGCAAGCGGUUCACCGCCAUGUCGUUCGAGGAGGAGGGGCGCGGCGACGACGACGACGCGGUUCCCAGCAAUAAUGCUAGUUCCUCUUCUGGUGGUCCGAGGCGGAAGCUUCAAAUGCGGAGACCACAUGUGACAUCUCUAUUUGGAGCUGCACAACUAUGGGAAAGAGGCUUCACUGGUAGGAAAGUCAAAAUGGCCAUUUUUGACACUGGUAUUCGGGCAGAUCACCCACAUUUUCGCAAUAUUAAGGAGCGCACAAAUUGGACAAAUGAAGACACAUUAAAUGACAACCUUGGACAUGGAACAUUUGUAGCUGGAGUGAUUGCUGGUCAAGAUCCAGAAUGUCCUGGAUUUGCACCAAACACUGAGAUAUAUGCAUUUCGAGUGUUCACAGAUGCUCAGAUAUCCUACACAUCAUGGUUCUUGGAUGCAUUUAAUUAUGCGAUGGCAACUGGUAUGGAUGUAUUGAAUUUGAGUAUUGGUGGACCUGAUUACCUGGAUCUCCCCUUUGUGGAAAAGGUCUGGGAGCUCACAGCAAACAACAUUAUUAUGGUAUCAGCUAUUGGAAAUGAUGGUCCUCUCUAUGGCACAUUAAAUAACCCAGCAGACCAAAGCGAUGUCAUCGGCGUUGGUGGUAUUGAUUACAAUAACCACAUAGCUUCAUUUUCCUCUAGAGGCAUGACUACCUGGGAACUUCCCCAUGGAUAUGGCCGUGUAAAACCUGAUGUUGUCGCAUACAGUCGUGAUAUAAUGGGUUCGAAGACCAGCACAGGCUGCAAGACUCUUUCAGGUACAAGUGUUGCAAGCCCGGUGGUUGCUGGAGCAGUAUGCUUGCUUGUUAGUGUUAUACCAGAAGACAAGCGAAAAUCCAUCCUUAAUCCUGCUAGUAUGAAACAGGCCCUUGUUGAGGGUGCUUCUAAGCUUGUGGGGCCGAAUAUAUAUGAGCAGGGUGCAGGCAAGCCUGAUCUAUGGCAAUCAUAUGAAAUAUUGAAAAAUUACCAACCACGAGCAAGUGUAUUUCCUAACAUGCUUGACUUCACCGACUGUCCCUACUUCUGGCCUUUUUGUCGGCAACCUUUGUAUGCUGGAGCCAUGCCAGUAGUAUUCAAUGCUACAAUUCUUAACGGGAUGGGGGUGAUUGGUUAUGUUAAGGAUCCACCUGUAUGGCAGCCAUCUGAAGAUGUGGGCAAUCUUCUCACUGUUCACUUCACCUACUCGGACACCAUCUGGCCUUGGACAGGGUACCUUGCCCUGCACAUGCAAGUUAAAGACGAAGGUUCUCAUUUUUCAGGCAUAAUUAGUGGCAAUGUUACCCUGUCGAUUUACAGCCCAGCUGCUGAGGGGGAAAGCAGCCCACGGAGUAGUACGUGUGUUCUUUACCUGAAGGUCAGGGUGGUUCAAACACCUGUUAGGUCAAGGAGAAUACUGUGGGACCAAUUUCAUAACAUCAAGUACCCAUCUGGAUAUGUUCCGAGGGAUUCACUUAAUGUGAAUAAUGAUAUCCUUGAUUGGCAUGGUGACCACUUGCACACGAAUUUUCACAUACUGUUCAACAUGCUGAGAGAUGCAGGAUACUAUAUUGAGACCCUUGGGUCACCACUUACCUGCUUUGACGCUAGCAAUUAUGGUACACUGCUCAUGGUUGAUCUUGAGGACGAGUACUUCAGUGAAGAGAUUCAGAAACUCAGGGAUGAUGUUGUACACAAGGGGCUCGGCCUUGCUGUUUUUGCUGAAUGGUAUCAUGUUGAUACCAUGGUGAAGAUGACAUUCUUUGAUGAAAAUACCCGCAGUUGGUGGAGUCCGCUUACUGGUGGUGCAAAUAUUCCUGCGCUUAAUGAACUUCUGGCCCCAUUUGGCAUUGCUUUUGGGGACAAAAUAUUGAGUGGUGAUUUCUCAAUCAAUGGUGAGCAGUCCCACUAUGCUUCUGGGACUGAUAUAGUGCAAUUCCCAGCAGGAGGUUUUUUGCAUGGCUUCGAACUCCAGGAAGACCCCAAAACUGCACAUAAUAGCUCAACUCCAGAUACACAGAACUCCCAGUCCCAGGAGAAGAGCAAGCUCUCCUCGAUUCUUGGUAUGCUUGAAGCAGGCGAAGGGCGAAUUGCAGUAUAUGGGGAUUCAAAUUGUCUUGACAGUAGUCACAUGGUAACAAACUGUUAUUGGCUUUUGAGAAAAAUUGUGGAGUUUGCUGGCAAUGGACUCAGAGAUCCUGUCCUUUUCUCAGAAGCAACUCGGUUAAAAUUUCCAGUUUUUGAGAACACCCAGAAACCCUUGCGUAGACCCGAUGUAAAUUUUUCAAUGUUUUCAUCUGUCAUUGGCAAGGAAUUGAUAUGUCACCAGGAUUCCCGAUUUGAAGUUUGGGGUACGAAAGGUUAUGGUAUCCAACCAACAGGCACAACAAGAAAGCUGCCAGAAUACCAAAAGAAUGAAGUUUCUAGUAGUCCCAAUCGAUUAAUAAAAUCGUCUUACAAGAGACAAGAUGAAGCUGGCUUGCAAAAAUCCAUUUUAGCACCGAGUGCUAAUAAAUUUGAUGAUAAAAGAGAUUAUUUUGGCUUUAUCAGCCAUGAAGAGGUCGCAAGCCAAUGGAUGGUACCUGCUUGCUUUGCUGUCACUACUUGCAUUCUGGUGUACCUCAGUUGCAGAGCGCAACAAAGGCGACGUCGACCAAGGAAAGGGUCCGCAACCGGCCGUCUGUCAAGUUCGGUAUAA
rnacentral:rRNA from 1 species